rnacentral:rRNA from 1 species
UACGGAGGGUGCAAGCGUUAUCCGGAUUCACUGGGUUUAAAGGGUGCGUAGGUGGGUCUGUAAGUCCGUGGUGAAAUCUCCGAGCUUAACUUGGAAACUGCCAUGGAUACUAUAGGUCUUGAAUACUGUGGAGGUCAGCGGAAUAUGUCAUGUAGCGGUGAAAUGCUUAGAUAUGACAUAGAACACCAAUUGCGAAGGCAGCUGGCUACACAAAUAUUGACACUGAUGCACGAAAGCGUGGGGAGCGAACGGG